GCCAGAUGGAAGAGAGGUAUAGGGUAGAUGUAUGUGGGAAGAAGUGUGGAGUUUUCUUGCUCCCUGGGCGCAGCACUCUCCCUACAUUUCCAUGUGUUCACCAACCUGAAGUUCUCUGAACCCCAUCCUUUUGAGUUUUUAUGGAGGCUUCACUAUGUAGGCAUGAUUGAUGAAAGCCAUUGGCCACUGGUGAUCGAACUCAAUCUCCAGCCCCUCUCCCUGCCCCAGAGGUCAGAAACUGGGGUGGGAAGAGACUGAAAAUUUCAGCCCUCUGAUCUCAAGGGUGGUUCCCCUGGCAACCAGCCCCUAUCCUUAGGGGCUUUCCAAAGUCACCUCAUUAACAAACUCAGAUGUGGUUCAAAGGGGCUUGUUAUAAAUAAAACACUCCUUUUGCCUUUAUGGCUCUGGAACCAUUUCAGGAACCAAGGACCAAAGACCAAAUACUAUAACUUGCUUUUUCUUCAUUCCCAAUGUUCCAAGUUUCCUUUUGGUAUUAUUUCUCUACUUUCUGAAGAACAUCCUUUAGCUGUUCCUUUAAAGCAGGUCUGCUGGCUAUCAAUUCUCUUAGUUUUCCUUUAUCUGAGAAUGUUCUUUAUUUCACCUUCAUUCCUGAGGGAUAUUUCACUGGUUAUAGAAUUCUGAGUUGACAUUUAUUUUCUUUCAGCACUUUAACAAAUAUGCCACUUCGUUCUGGCCUCCACAAUUUCUGAUGAAAAAAUUCACUGUCACUUGAAUUGUUCCCCUAUAGGCAAUCUUUCAUUUUUCUCUGGCUGCUUUCAAGAUAUCUUUUAGUUUUCAACAUUUUAUGAUGUAUCCGGGCUAGGAUCUCUUUGGGUUUAUCCUUGGGGUUCACUCAGCUUGAUUUGGGAAGUUUUUAGCCAUCAUUUCUGCAGGUGUUUUUAAAGCACUACACUCUUUUAUCAUUCUGUGACUCCUAUGAUGUGACCCUGAAACUCUUUUUUCCUUCUUCUCUGUUGUUUAGAUUGGAUGAUUUGUGCCGAUCUAGAGCUUUCCUCCUCUCCAUUCUGCUAUUGAGUCUAUCCAGUGAGGGUUUUUUAAUUUCAGUUAUGGUAUUUUUCAAUUCUAAUAUUUUCAUGUGGUUCUUCUAUUUCUUUACUGACAAUUUCUAUUUUGAUACUUAUUUUGAGAGUGUGUGUGAUUGCUCAGUUGAAGUUUUUAAUAAUAGCUUCCUUAAAGUCUAUAAUGGCAUCUGUUGAUUGUCUUUUUCCAUCAGAGCUAUUUUCAUGAUUCUUCAUAUGCUGAGUAAUUUGGGAUUGUAUGCUAGACAUUGUGAAUAUUACGUGAUAAGAUGAAGCAAAUCCCCUGGAGAAUGUUGAUAUUUUUGUUUUAAUAAUCGAUCUGGUCAGGUUCAGUUUUCAAAGCCUCUGCAGUGCUUUUGGGACCUGGCCUAUGUAUACACCAUCUUGCGGUCAGGCUGAGAUCCCAGGAGGGGUCUGUCAGCUCAGAUCUCACAAGUGUUUGGUAUGCUAAUUAGGAUCAGCUCCACAGGUAAACAGUGUGAGUGAGGUGCACAAGUCAAGGGUGAGCCAGAGUUCAAUAACUUUGUGGAACUACUUCCUUGAGCUCUUCCCUCUCUGCUGUCUCACCAGUACUUUCUGGUUCCUUGGGGCUCCCUUGUUUGGCCCACCAGCCUGAAACUGCCCAUUUCUGUAACUGAGGCCUGUCCUUCAGAGAUGAAAAAAGCACACAGACUCAGCCUCACCCUCUUGGUGCCUCAGCUCUACCAAAUGGAGAUUAAGCCCUCCUCCCUCAGACUCUUGGCUCCUGCAGGCUCCCAUUGGCAGCCAGGGGAUUACCUGGGGGCUCCAGCAUGAAAAAUGAAAAGAGAGGAAACAAAAGGCAUUUCCCUCAUUCUCUCUGUUUCAGCCAUUCCUUUCCUGUUCCUCAAGCCAGGCUUCUCUAGGAUCUGUGUACCACUGCUCACUUCUGCAUGUGGGGCCAUGUUGUGUUCAGGCCGGGAGAUACCAGAGGAAUAAAAAAAUGGUAAACUCACCACUUCAGUUAUACUUAGAAUUCUGGUGUUCCUCCCCACUCUGUGUGUUGCUGUUUACUUCUGAGUCCUCCAAUAGCCAGGCCAUAUGUUCUACCCAGGUUUUAUAGUUGUGUUCAGUGAGAACAAAAGGAGGGUGUGUGUCAACUCCAUCUGACCUGGAACUCGAACCUUCCCUAAGAUAUUAAGUGAAAAAAAGUUAUAGAAUGUGUAUAGUGUUAUUCUAUAUUUUUGAAAAAAAAAAAAAAAUGUGUCUAUGUACCUCCACAGAAAAGUGCUUAGAAAAAAAGGUCUGGAAGUUUACACAACAAACUUAACACUGGUAUCCUCUAAGAGGGGUGGAGAAUUUUGGUGAGGGGAUGGUAUUGAAAGAAACUUUCACUUUUCAUACCUCUUUCUGAAUUAUUUUAACCAUGCACUAUUACUUUUGUAAUUUUCAAAACAAUAGGAAGGUGUGACGGAAAUGACUGGGAAAAUGUUAUAGUUCAACUGAAAGUAUAUAUACAGAAAGUAUCUUUUGCUGAAUGUACCUAAUGUAUCUUGCUAAACAUUUAAUGAAAGAUCCAUUUAGGAGUCAGUGUGAUCAUAUGUUUUCUUCAACCAUUGAUGUACUAAUCAG
ensembl:lncRNA